rnacentral:rRNA from 1 species
UACGAAGGGGGCUAGCGUUGUUCGGAAUUACUGGGCGUAAAGGGCGCGUAGGCGGUUUUGUAAGUUAGGCGUGAAAGCCCUGGGCUUAACCUAGGAAUAGCGUUUGAUACUGCAAGACUAGAGUAUGGGAGAGGCGAAUGGAAUUUCCAGUGUAGAGGUGAAAUUCGUAGAUAUUGGAAAGAACACCGGAGGCGAAGGCGGUUCGCUGGACCAUUACUGACGCUAAGGCGCGAAAGCGUGGGGAG